UUUUUGUUUUUUUUUUUUCCAUUGUUAUUAACAACACAAUCUUUGAUUUGAAUCCUAUGUGAUCAUAAUGUUUAAUUAUACGUGAUUGUCUUGAGUUUACUUGACUUAGGUAAUAUCAUUUCACUAGUUUGUUACUUGCAUUGAUGGCUCCAUAUUCAUUAAUAUUACUACUUAGAUUAAUUUAUUUAAUUAUGUAACACUUAGUUUGUGCGUGUACAUGAAUUUCAAGUGAUUAGUUUUUAAAAUCGUAUUCAUUUUAGGCUAGCAUUAGAGAAUGUUUGUCGAGUUCAUUAGAGGAGGACAUUAUUCCAUCACCGUCUAUUGCUAGGAGUAAUUGGCUGGAGCUACUGUCAAAGCUUAUCUCUAAGAAAUAUUACAUUGAGUAUGUUAAAAUGGCGUAAUGGCUUAUGAAUGCAGGAGACACUUGACUUACAAGCCUGCCAAUUGCAUCUAAUCUUUGUGUAGGUUGGCAUUGUUCAUGCUAUCAAUAAGCUUCAUAGUGAUCUACCAGGUUUGAACUUAGCUGUGUCCCUUCAUGCACCAGUUCAAGAGUUUGUUGCCAGAAAACGCCUGCAGCUCGAGCUUUUCCUCUGGAAAGACUUAUGAAUGCACUUCAUGUACAUCAAAAGCAAUUGAUUCACAAUGUUUCUUGAAAAUUAAUUUGCAAUUUUCUCUCGGUGACUCCCCCCCUCUCUUUUUGCGAGAUAUUUCAGAUUUUAACUCAUUUUUUAAUGUUAAACUUUCAGUCAGCAAAAAAUAUUUGUUGAGUACAUAGUGCUGGAUAAGGUGAAUGAUGAAGAGCCACAUGCUCACCAGCUUGGCAAACUGCUAGAGACAUCUCAAGUGGUAACAAUUGAUGUUGCAAGUCCAGAAGCAGCUUGUAGCCAAAGGAAAAACUGUGGAACCAAGUUUCAAAAUUGCUAUCAUUUCAAAGUCUGGUGAAGGUGUAGCUCAUGUAGCUCCCUUGAGGAAAAUACCAGAGAGGACUGCUUCUAAGCCAUCUCUUGCUGAAAAGAUAGAAGAGGAGAAGCCAAAACCUAAAGUUGAAACAGCAGCUGUCAUGGAUAAGCAGCCUAAAGCACCCUGUCUGCCACCUCCUAAGUGCUCUGCAACUUAGCCCCGGCUUCCACCUAAGGACAGGGAAAGACGGAUUGUGCAUGAUUGCAAGUUCCUAUGACAAGGCUACGGAAUAGGGUUUUUACAACAUUGAAGGACUCUCAGAAUACAUUUGCAAUGUUGACAACAUUCAAUCAAGUUGAUAUGGCAUGGCAUCUUGUUAGGAGUGUUUCUAUGAUAGGACAUGUAUAUACCCGUUAAAAGAAAGAAAGAGACAACAGAGCCACAAGCACGAGACAGGACAAGUGUCACUCAUGCAAAAAUUAAGGUUGGACCACAAAGACAGAGGACUGGAACGUGGCAAGAGCAGAGCAUGGGAGACGGUUAUGGAGAGAAAAUAAAAGCUGGAAAUGAAUCAAGAGGAAGGAAGGGAAGAAACUUGAGGAGAAGGGAGUGAAGGGAGAGUUUCUAGCCUCUCGAAUGCUGGAUAGUUUUUGUUCUUGGUCUUUUUUUUUUUUUUUUUUAAUGCUGAGUUUUAUGCUGAAUACAGUAGCAGAGAGCUGUAUUUGUAUUACUGAAACCUUAUCAAUACAAUUAGUAUUUUUCGUA